CUUCAGUGAUGAUACGAUGACGAGUCGGAACGGGACAGCCUCUUGACUCUGGGGCUUCUGGAUUAUGGAUCACGUUCUGUGCUCCUAAUUCAGUUCCUCAGAGCAGUGUGUUCCUUUUGGUUGAAGACAUCGAGGCAUUUGUCUGAGAAGG
ensembl:snoRNA SNORD15 Small nucleolar RNA SNORD15